rnacentral:lncRNA from 1 species
AACGCGAGGCUGAGGGAGCGGUGGAGGGCGGGGCUGCAGAUGUCUGACCACCUCCUCUCACCAGAUGAUGCAGAGUGAAACUUCCUUCUUUCAGUAUUCUACCUCUUCAGCUACGAUAAAAUUAAUUUGGACCACUUUGGAGAGAAUAUUCAAGGAAGGAGUGCAACGGGGCUGCAGCUAAACCAAAUCAGCUUUCAAAAGAUGUUUCUUUAUGUUAUGUUUGCUAAUGGACGUUUUUCCUUAGAAGACUGAUAAAAUAACCAUAUUGUGAACCUGCAAUUCACCUGUGUGAAUGUUUGUAAUCAUUUGUCUAACAUAGGAAUUCCAGUAUGUUCUUUUGAAGAAAAAAAAACUCAAGCAAAUAAAGAGAGGAAGCAACACA